GCGUGCCUAAUACUGCAAGUCGAGCGAACAGAUAAGGAGCUUGCUCCUUUGACGUUAGCGGCGGACGGGUGAGUAACACGUGGAUAACCUACCUAUAAGACUGGGAUAACUUCGGGAAACCGGAGCUAAUACCGGAUAAGAUUUUGAACCGCAUGGUUCAAUAGUGAAAGACGGCCUUGCUGUCACUUAUAGAUGGAUCCGCGCCGUAUUAGCUAGUUGGUAAGGUAACGGCUUACCAAGGCAACGAUACGUAGCCGACCUGAGAGGGUGAUCGGCCACACUGGAACUGAGACACGGUCCAGACUCCUACGGGAGGCAGCAGUAGGGAAUCUUCCGCAAUGGGCGAAAGCCUGACGGAGCAACGCCGCGUGAGUGAUGAAGGUCUUCGGAUCGUAAAACUCUGUUAUCAGGGAAGAACAAACGUGUAAGUAACUGUGCACGUCUUGACGGUACCUGAUCAGAAAGCCACGGCUAACUACGUGCCAGCAGCCGCGGUAAUACGUAGGUGGCAAGCGUUAUCCGGAAUUAUUGGGCGUAAAGCGCGCGUAGGCGGUUUUUUAAGUCUGAUGUGAAAGCCCACGGCUCAACCCUUGGAGGGUCUUUGGAAACUGG
rnacentral:rRNA from 1 species